rnacentral:rRNA from 1 species
GACGAACGUUGGCGGCGUGCUUAAUACAUGCCAGUCAACUGAAGCAGUGGUAGCAAUAUCGCUGUGGAGGUGGCGCACGGGUGAGUAACACGUAGGUAAUCUGCCUUCAGGUCUGGCAUAACUCCGGGAAACCGGGGCUAAUAGCAGAUGAUGCAGCGGCUCGACAUCGAGACAGUUGUUAAAGCUAUGGCGCCUGAAGAUGAGCCUGCGUCUGAUUAGCUAGUUGGCGGGGUAACGGCCCACCAAGGCAACGAUCAGUAGCUGGUCUGAGAGGAUGAUCAGCCACACGGGAACUGAGACACGGUCCAGACUCCUACGGGAGGCAGCAGUAAGGAAGAUUGCUCAAUGGGAGAAAUCCUGAAGCAGCAACGCCGCGUGAGGGACGAAGGGCUUUGGCUUGUAAACCUCUGUAGUGAGAGAAAAAAAUCCCAAUCUUUGGGACAUGAUGGUAUCUCAAAAGUAAGCCCCGGCUAACUACGUG